UACGUAGGGUGCGAGCGUUAAUCGGAAUUACUGGGCGUAAAGCGUGCGCAGGCGGUUUUGUAAGUCUGACGUGAAAUCCCCGGGCUUAACCUGGGAAUUGCGCUUGAAACUAGCGGGCUUGAGUGUGGCAGAGGGGGGUGGAAUUCCACGUGUAGCAGUGAAAUGCGUAGAGAUGUGGAGGAACACCGAUGGCGAAGGCAGCCCCCUGGGUCAACACUGACGCUCAUGCACGAAAGCGUGGGGAGCAAACAGG
rnacentral:rRNA from 1 species